UACAGAGGUGGCAAGCGUUGUUCGGAAUUACUGGGCGUAAAGGGCGCGUAGGCGGCCUACUAAGUCAGACGUGGAAAUCCCCCGGCUUAAACCUCGGGAACUGCGUCUGAUACUGGAAUGGCUUGGAUUUGGGAGAGGGAUGCGGAAUUCCAGGUGUAGCGGUGAAAUGACGUAGAUAUCUGGAGGAACACCGGUGGCGAGGGCGGCAUCCUGGACCAAUACGUGACACUGAGGAGCGAAAGCCAGGGAGCAAACGGG
rnacentral:rRNA from 1 species